rnacentral:rRNA from 1 species
AGGGCGCAUGGUGAAUGCCUUGGCACUAGGAGCCGAUGAAGGACGGGACUAACACCGAUAUGCUUCGGGGAGCUGUACGUAAGCUAUGAUCCGGAGAUUUCCGAAUGGGGCAACCCAGCAGUUUUAAUCAACUGUUACCACUAGAUGAAUUCAUAGUCUAGUUGGAGGUAAACGCUGUGAACUGAAACAUCUCAUUAGCAGCAGGAAUAUAAAGAAAUUUCGAUUCCCCAAGUAGCGGCGAGCGAACGGGGAACAGCCCAAACCAAAGUGCUUGCACUUUGGGGUUGUAGGACUGAACAUUUGAGUUACCAAAGAACUUGAUAGUCGAAGGAUUUGGGAAAAUCCGCCAUAGAUGGUGAUAGCCCAGUAGAUUAAAUCAAAUUCUCUCAGUUCAGGAUCCUGAGUACGGCGGAACACGUGAAAUUCCGUCGGAAUCCGGGAGGACCAUCUCCCAAGGCUAAAUACUACCUAGUGACCGAUAGUGAACCAGUACCGUGAGGGAAAGGUGAAAAGCACCCCGGGAGGGGAGUGAAAUAGUUCCUGAAACCAUGUGCCUACAAUAAGUCAGAGCGCGUUAAUGCGUGAUGGCGUGCCUUUUGUAGAAUGAACCGGCGAGUUAUGAUCCCGUGCAAGGUUAAGACUAAAAAGUCGGAGCCGUAGCGAAAGCGAGUCUGAAAUGGGCGAUUUGAGUACGAGGUUAUAGACCCGAAACCAGGUGACCUAUCCAUGUCCAGGUUGAAGGUGCGGUAAAACGCACUGGAGGACCGAACCCGUGUAAGUUGAAAAUUGCUGGGAUGAGGUGUGGAUAGCGGUGAAAUUCCAAACGAACUUGGAGAUAGCUGGUUCUCUCCGAAAUAGCUUUAGGGCUAGCCUCGGAUUAAGGAUCAUGGAGGUAGAGCACUAUUUGGACUAGGGGCCCGUCUUGGGUUACUGAAUUCAGAUAAACUCCGAAUGCCAUUGAUUCAUGUCCGGGAGUCAGACGAUGAGUGAUAAGAUCCACCGUCGAAAGGGGAACAGCCCAGACCAUCAGUUAAGGUCCCUAAAUGUAUGCUAAGUGGAAAAGGAUGUGGAGUUGCAUAGACAACUAGGAUGUUGGCUCAGAAGCAGCCACCAUUUAAAGAGUGCGUAAUAGCUCACUAGUCGAGUGAUCCUGCGCCGAAAAUGUACCGGGGCUAAGCAUACUACCGAAACCAUGGAUGCGACCAUUAGGUCGCGUGAUAGGAGAGCGUUCUAAGGGCGGUGAAGCAAGAUCGUGAGGACUUGUGGAGCGCUUAGAAGUGAGAAUGCCGGUAUGAGUAGCGAAAGAUAGGUGAGAAUCCUAUCCACCGAAUGACUAAGGUUUCCUGGGGAAGGCUCGUCCUCCCAGGGUUAGUCGGGACCUAAGUCGAGGCCGAGAGGCGUAGACGAUGGAUAACAGGUUGAGAUUCCUGUACUAGUUAAGUGCGUUUGAGCAAUGGAGGGACGCAGGAGGCUAAGAUGUGCAUUCUGUUGGAUUAGAAUGUCCAAGCAGUAAGUCUUGUGGAGAGUCAAAUGCUUUUCACUUUAAGGACAAGCUGUGAUGGGGAGCGAAAUUUAGUAGCGAAGCGUCUGAUGUCACACUGCCGAGAAAAGCUUCUAGUGAGUACUUAACUACCCGUACCGCAAACCGACACAGGUAGUCGAGGAGAGAAUCCUAAGGUGAGCGAGUGAACUCUCGUUAAGGAACUCGGCAAAAUGACCCCGUAACUUCGGGAGAAGGGGUGCUGAUCGCAAGAUCAGCCGCAGUGAAUAGGCCCAGGCGACUGUUUAUCAAAAACACAGGUCUCUGCAAAAUCGUAAGAUGACGUAUAGGGGCUGACGCCUGCCCGGUGCUGGAAGGUUAAAAGGAUGGGUUAGCUUCGGCGAAGCUCAGAAUUGAAGCCCCAGUAAACGGCGGCCGUAACUAUAACGGUCCUAAGGUAGCGAAAUUCCUUGUCGGGUAAGUUCCGACCCGCACGAAAGGCGUAACGAUCUGGGCACUGUCUCAACGAGAGACUCGGUGAAAUUAUAUUGUCCGUGAAGAUGCGGACUACCCGCGACAGGACGGAAAGACCCCAUGGAGCUUUACUGUAGCUUGAUAUUGAGUGUUUGUACAGCUUGUACAGGAUAGGUAGGAGCCAUAGAAACCGGAACGCUAGUUUCGGUGGAGGCGUUGGUGGGAUACUACCCUCGCUGUAUGACCACUCUAACCCGCACCACUAAUCGUGGUGGGAGACAGUGUCAGGUGGGCAGUUUGACUGGGGCGGUCGCCUCCUAAAAAGUAACGGAGGCGCCCAAAGGUUCCCUCAGAAUGGUUGGAAAUCAUUCGCAGAGUGUAAAGGCACAAGGGAGCUUGACUGCGAGACAGACAGGUCGAGCAGGGACGAAAGUCGGGCUUAGUGAUCCGGUGGUACCGUAUGGAAGGGCCAUCGCUCAACGGAUAAAAGCUACCCUGGGGAUAACAGGCUUAUCUCCCCCAAGAGUCCACAUCGACGGGGAGGUUUGGCACCUCGAUGUCGGCUCAUCGCAUCCUGGGGCUGUAGUCGGUCCCAAGGGUUGGGCUGUUCGCCCAUUAAAGCGGUACGCGAGCUGGGUUCAGAACGUCGUGAGACAGUUCGGUCCCUAUCCGUCGCGGGCGUAGGAAAUUUGAGAGGACCUGUCCUUAGUACGAGAGGACCGGGAUGGACAUACCUCUGGUGUACCAGUUGUGCCGCCAGGCGCAUCGCUGGGUAGCUACGUAUGGAUGUGAUAAACGCUGAAAGCAUCUAAGUGUGAAACACACCUCGAGAUGAGAUUUCCCAUUCCUUUAU